GCAAGGUUAAAACUCAAAGAAAUUGACGGGGGCCCGCACAAGCAGAGGAGCAUGUGGCUUAAUUCGAUGCAACGCGAAGAACCUUACCCAGGUUUGACAUAUAACUGCAAAUCCCUGGAAACAGGGACUCCUUCGAGGGUGUUAUACAGGUGCUGCAUGGCUGUCGUCAGUUCGUGCCGUGAGGUGUUUGGUUAAGUCCAGCAACGAACGCAACCCCUAUGUUUAGUUGCCAGCGGGUAAUGCCGGGAACUCUAGACAGACUGCCCGUUCACACGGGAGGAAGGUGGGGACGACGUCAAGUCAGUAUGGCCCUUACAUCUGGGGCUGCACACGUGCUACAAUGGCAGGUACAAUAGGAAGCAAUACCGCGAGGUGGAGCCAAUCCCCAAAACCUGCCCCAGUUCGGAUUGUGGUCUGCAACCCGACCACAUGAAGUUGGAUUUGCUAGUAACGGCGUAUCAGCUACGACGCCGUGAAUACGUUCCCGGGCCUUGUACACACCGCCCGUCACAUCAUGAAAGCCGUCUGCACCCGAAUCCGGUGCACCAACCAGCAAUGGAGGGAGCCGUCUAAGGUGUGGGUGGUAAUUGGGAUGAAGUCGUAACAAGGUAACC
rnacentral:rRNA from 1 species